UACGUAGGGUGCGAGCGUUAAUCGGAAUUACUGGGCGUAAAGCGUGCGCAGGCGGUGAUGCAAGUCAGAUGUGAAAUCCCCGGGCUCAACCUGGGAACUGCAUUUGUGACUGCAUCGCUGGAGUGCGGCAGAGGGAGAUGGAAUUCCGCGUGUAGCAGUGAAAUGCGUAGAUAUGCGGAGGAACACCGGUGGCGAAGGCAGUCCCCUGGGCCUGCACUGACGCUCAUGCACGAAAGCGUGGGGAGCAAACAGG
rnacentral:rRNA from 1 species